ensembl:snRNA U5 U5 spliceosomal RNA
GAAUUCAUGGAUCCGUUCAUAUCAUAUAAAUCUUUCGCCUUUUACUAAAGAUUUAUGUGGAGAGGACCACUGUGAGUUAAUAGUAAUGUUUUGAUACACCACUGCAUGGCGGGGU